GUGAAUAAUUGUUUACAUGUCCCAAAGAGAGAGAAAGAGAAAGAGACCUUCUUGUUUGUCAAGAUCUAGGGUUUCGUAUCUCCUCUUUUUUCACAGAGAACUGCAGACCCAUCUUUGGUUGGUCUUUUCUCUAUUUGAUGAAUUUUCAUUUACCAAGAUCGAUGCCUCGUGUCUUCUAAACAAUAGUUUUUUCUUUGUCCUGCCAUGGAGUAAGACGAGAGAAGCUACUUUGAUUAAUUAUGGUCACUUCUGAUCAUGGCCCUAAUCCCUAGCUAAUUCAUUUUACUUCUAGUGAGUCUCUAACCCUAAAAUUUCUUCCCAGGCUGUGUGUCUGUAGCUCAUGGGAGUGAAUUUAUUCUAGUCUUAGGUUUGGAAGGAAGGAAAGAAAGAAAGCAGAAAGGAGCCAAAAAGAAAAGAUGGAGGGAAGUGACCAAACUGGAUGCUCCAAGACAAGAGCCUCCAGACAAUAUCAAGAUGACAGUGUGAGUGGAGCAAAUGAUGAAGAUGAAAAUAUGCCUAAAAAUGGAGCAAGUUCAAGCAAUAGCACUGUUGAAGAGAAUGACAAGAGGACGUCAGUGAGGCCCUAUGUCAGAUCCAAGAUGCCGAGGCUUCGCUGGACCCCUGAGCUCCAUCUUUGCUUCAUCAAAGCUGUGGAAAGACUUGGCGGACAAGAUAGAGCUACUCCUAAGCUAGUUCUUCAACUGAUGAAUGUCAAUGGACUGAGUAUUGCUCAUGUCAAGAGCCAUCUACAGAUGUAUAGAAGCAAGAAGUUCGAUGACCCAAGUCAAGUCAUGGCUGAUCAUAGGCAUCUUGUGGAAAGUGGAGAUAGCAAUAUUUAUAAACUUCCCAUGCUACAAGGAUACAACCAACGCCAUGGUUCCAGCUACAGAUAUGGAGAUGCUUCUUGGAAUGCUCGCGAAAACUUUGUUUAUAAUCCUCAUAUGGGUCGGUGUUUAGUCGACGAAACCAGACAAGGAUUAUAUGGGACAGUAGCCGAGAGGAUCUUUGGAGGCAACACUAAUAGCAAUGGGACCAAUUGGAAGUUCCAAACAGGUGCUUCCUCUUUUGGUUCACAGUCUAGUUGGAAAACGGAAGAGCUACUGAAAGGUGAACUACGACCAUCGCACAAUCCAAAAUUUUGGCAACCCCAAUCAAGUUCAAGCUUCACUGAGCUGAAACCUGCAGCUUACUUUCUGAAAGCCAAAGUUGGGGAAAGCGCUCUUUUUAAUAGAAGUAAUAUCCUUAUUUCAGAUAUGACAUCAUCAUCAGCAAGUAAUCUACAAGAUCAGUUGAAAUCCUUGAAAAGGAAGGCUACAGAUUGCAAACUUGAUUUGGAUCUGUCACUGAAGCUAACAGUACCAGCAAAUGAUGAUAGCCGGCGAAGUUUGAAGGACAGUGAAGUUGAUAGUGAGUUAUCUUUAUCCCUGUACUCACCAUCAUCCUCAAAGAUUAGCAGAUUGAAGGGAGGGGGAGGUUGAUAAUCAUAAAGAAAAUGCAAAAAGGGCAAGUACUCUGGAUCUGACUAUAUGAAUGAGACAAUUCUAAGUGAGAUCUUGAGGUACUUGUUCUAAACAAUGCACUUCGUUAUUGGUUUUUAAGUAAUACAAAUUAACACCAAUCAUUUUCUUUCCCUUUUUUUACCCUAAUAUUUGAUCUCUU
rnacentral:misc_RNA from 1 species